rnacentral:rRNA from 1 species
GAACUGUGCGAACGUUAUUCGGAAUCACUGGGCUUAAAGGGUGCGUAGGCGGCAAUAAAGGUCAGAUGUGAAAUCCCACGGCUCAACCGUGGAACUGCGUUUGAAACCGUAUAGCUUGAGGAAGUCAGAGGUAAGCGGAACUGAUGGUGGAGCGGUGAAAUGCGUUGAUAUCAUCAGGAACACCGGUGGCGAAAGCGGCUUACUGGGACUUUUCUGACGCUGAGGCACGAAAGCCAGGGGAGCGAACGGGGGAUUAGAUACCCCGGUAGUCCUGGCUGUAAACGAUCUGUACUAGUCUGUGGGGACCUCCACAUCCCUCUCGGACGUAGCGAAAGUGUUAAGUACAGCGCCUGGGGAGUAUGGUCGCAAGGCUG